UACGUAGGGGGCUAGCGUUAUCCGGAAUUACUGGGCGUAAAGGGUGCGUAGGUGGUUUCUUAAGUCAGAGGUGAAAGGCUACGGCUCAACCGUAGUAAGCCUUUGAAACUGGGAAACUUGAGUGCAGGAGAGGAGAGUGGAAUUCCAUGUGUAGCGGUGAAAUGCGUAGAUAUAUGGAGGAACACCGGUGGCGAAAGCGGCUCUCUGGCCUGUAACUGACACUGAGGCUCGAAAGCGUGGGGAGCAAACAGG
rnacentral:rRNA from 1 species